rnacentral:piRNA from 1 species
UCAAUGGCAGUGUUAGCUGAUGCCAA